UACGAAGGCGGCUAGCGUUGCUCGGAAUCACUGGGCGUAAAGGGUGCGUAGGCGGGUCUUUAAGUUAGAGGUGAAAGCCCGGGGCUCAACUCCGGAAUUGCCUUUAAGACUGCAUCGCUAGAAUCCGGGAGAGGUGAGUGGAAUUCCGAGUGUAGAGGUGAAAUUCGUAGAUAUUCGGAAGAACACCAGUGGCGAAGGCGGCUCACUGGACCGGUAUUGACGCUGAGGUGCGAAAGCGUGGGGAGCAAACAGG
rnacentral:rRNA from 1 species